CGUCCAGACUCCUACGGGAGGCAGCAGUGGGGAAUAUUGCACAAUGGGCGCAAGCCUGAUGCAGCCAUGCCGCGUGUAUGAAGAAGGCCUUCGGGUUGUAAAGUACUUUCAGCGGGGAGGAAGGUGUUGAGGUUAAUAACCUCAGCAAUUGACGUUACCCGCAGAAGAAGCACCGGCUAACUCCGUGCCAGCAGCCGCGGUAAUACGGAGGGUGCAAGCGUUAAUCGGAAUUACUGGGCGUAAAGCGCACGCAGGCGGUCUGUCAAGUCGGAUGUGAAAUCCCCGGGCUCAACCUGGGAACUGCAUUCGAAACUGGCAGGCUGGAGUCUUGUAGAGGGGGGUAGAAUUCCAGGUGUAGCGGUGAAAUGCGUAGAGAUCUGGAGGAAUACCGGUGGCGAAGGCGACCCCCUGGACAAAGACUGACGCUCAGGUGCGAAAGCGUGGGGAGCAAACAGGAUUAGAUACCCGCGUAC
rnacentral:rRNA from 1 species